rnacentral:rRNA from 1 species
UACGGGGGGAGCAAGCGUUGUUCGGAUUUACUGGGCGUAAAGGGCGCGUAGGCGGCCACGACAAGUCAGUUGUGAAAUCUCUGGGCUUAACUCAGAACGGUCAACUGAUACUGUCGGGCUAGAGUGCAGAAGGGGCAACUGGAAUUCUCGGUGUAGCGGUGAAAUGCGUAGAUAUCGAGAGGACCACCGGCGGCGAAGGCGGGUUGCUGGGCUGACACUGACGCUGAGGCGCGAAAGCUAGGGGAGCGAACGGG